rnacentral:rRNA from 1 species
UGGAUUAAAGUUACGGCGGUUCAAGAUGGGCAUGCGUGACAUUAGCUAGUUGGUGAGGUAACGGCUCACCAAGGCGACGAUGUCUAGGGGUCCUGAGAGGGUUUCCCCCCACACUGGUACUGAGACACGGACCAGACUCCUACGGGAGGCAGCAGUAAGGAAUAUUGGUCAAUGGACGCAAGUCUGAACCAGCCAUGCCGCGUGCAGGAUGACUGCCCUACGGGUUGUAAACUGCUUUUACGUGAGAAAAAACUCCCCGAUUCGUUCGGGGACUGAUGGUAUCACAUGAAUAAGCAUCGGCUAACUCCGUGCCAGCAGCCGCGGUAAUACGGAGGAUGCAAGCGUUAUCCGGAUUCAUUGGGUUUAAAGGGUGUGCAGGCGGAAUGAUAAGUCAGAGGUGAAAUCCCCCGGCUCAACCGGGGACCUGCCUUUGAUACUGUUGUUCUUGAGUAUAGUUGAAGUGGGCGGAAUGUGUCAUGUAGCGGUGAAAUGCAUAGAUAUGACACAGAACACCGAUAGCGAAGGCAGCUCACUAACCUAUAACUGACGCUCAUGCACGAAAGCGUGGGGAGCAAACAGGAUUAGAUACCCUGGUAGUCCACGCUGUAAACUAUGAUCACUAGUUGUUAGCGAUACACUGUUAGCGACUGAGGGAAACCAUUAAGUGAUCCACCUGGGGAGUACGGCCGCAAGGUUGAAACUCAAAGGAAUUGACGGGGGCCCGCACAAGCGGAGGAGCAUGUGGUUUAAUUCGAUGAUACGCGAGGAACCUUACCUGGGCUUAAAUGCAGGACGACAUCCCGUGAAAACGGGAUUUCUUCGGACGGCCUGCAAGGUGCUGCAUGGUUGUCGUCAGCUCGUGCCGUGAGGUGUCGGGUUAAGUCCCAUAACGAGCGCAACCCCUAUUCUUAGUUGCCAUCAGGUAAUGCUGGGAACUCUAAGGAAACUGCCUACGCAAGUAGUGAGGAAGGUGGGGAUGACGUCAAAUCAGCACGGCCCUUAUGUCCAGGGCGACACACGUGCUACAAUGGCCGAUACAGAGGGGAGCUAACUGGUGACAGUCUGCAAAUCUCGAAAGUCGGUCUCAGUUCGGAUCGGAGUCUGCAAC